UCCCCGCUGCACCUCCGGACCGAGACAGACACGAAACCGGGAUCCUGCCCCUCUGCGCCGAGUGAGGCCGGUUGUGGAAGCACGCGAUGGAGCGGAAAGUAGCACAAGCGAAUGCAGAAUUGUGAUUCAUCGUGGAACUGACACGCUUCCUGUCAGAGGAUGAAGGGACUGGCGGAGGCCUUCAGGAGAUGGUGCCUCUAAACCCCAGGGGGAAAACACGCGAAGAAUAACAAACCAUCCCAUCUUUAACGAGAAAGAGCUCCAGCUCUCAUGGCUGCAACAGUCAGUGAUGGAGCAAUCACAUGAUUUCAACAGGAAAAACAACUCUGGAGUCAGAGACUGUUUGGAUUGAGCCACAGACCUUCUGAUCUGAGUCCCUGGAGAGAAAAGACAUUCAAGGCUGGUGGGAUGGGGGACAAGCUGGACAACAAGCCUGGCCAACACAUGCUAAUACCAGGCUGGCCAAAUGAACAGCUAUCUCCACGACCGUUGUUCAAAGUCCAUUCUUACGUUAAUGGUGAAGAGAGACCUAGCAACAAAUUAAGAGAAUUACGAGAAGUCACAUCAUCAAUCUAAAUAGUGUGCCGUUCUGUAGACUCGUGGUUAAAAACAUGUAUGCUGACGCCUCUUGGUGGAAGUCAGAGUUAUUGCAAGCCACUGGUAAAUACGUCUGUGGGCCUUCCUAGUUCAAGAACUGAAUAUACAAAAAUAUGACAACUAUUAGUUAAAGGUUAUUGAAAUAAAAAAAAUGGAUUCUUUCUACUGGGAAAAGUUGGGAAUCAUUGAUGUAGAUUUUUUGUCUCACUGUCAGAGGGACAGUCACAAACUGAAUAGUUUCAGGUUCUGUUUCGGGUAUCUUCUUUUUUAAAAAAAUUUUUAAAGUGUGUAUGAUUGUACUUGGUCAUAUCUCAGUUUCUAAGUUUACUAGUGGGUGUGUUAGUGUGUCUAUUCUCUGGCUAGGGUGUCAGCUCCUCAAGGGAGAAAGACUUGGAACCCUUAAUUUAAGGCUCUGGACAUUCUGGGCACUUGAAUGAAUAUUAUUGAUUGCCUGGGGAAAAAAUGGGUUAAGAGCACAAAAUAAAUAUAGUGUUUGUAAUGGAAUCUAUUGAUUCUGCCCGCCCUAAAUCCUUUUCUUUCCCCCUCAAACCACACAGCCCUAGGGAGGCUGUCAAUCAGUACCCUGCUUCUGGCUGACUGGUGGGCCUAGAGAUUUGGCUCUUUAUAGAGUGACAGGGCUAAUGCUUCAUACAGCUGGGCUAACAAUUUCAAUUAGCUAGACCUUUAGUCUCUCUAAUGUUUCAGCUUUUUCUAGUAUGAUUCUGAGACCUUCCUCCCCCACCCCCAGC